rnacentral:rRNA from 1 species
CUCCGGUUGAUCCCGCCGGACCUGACUGCUAUCGGAUUGGUACUAAGCCAUGCGAGUCAUUGUAGCAAUACAAGGCGGACGGCUCAGUAACACGUAGUCAACCUAACUCGUGGACGUGGAUAACCUCGGGAAACUGAGAAUAAACCACGAUAGAUCAUAGUGCCUGGAAUGGCUUAUGGUCCAAACAGUUUACUGCCAUGGGAUGGGACUGCGGCCUAUCAGCUUGUUGGUGAGGUAAUGGCCCACCAAGGCGAUUACAGGUACGGGCUCUGAGAGGAGAAGCCCGGAGAUGGGUACUGAGACACGGACCCAGGCCCUAUGGGGCGCAGCAGGCGAGAAACCUUAGCAAUGUGCGAAAGCACGACUGGGUCAGUCCGAGUGAUUCCUGAUAAAGGAGUCUUUUGCUUGUCCUAAAAGCACAGGUGAAUAAGGGGUGGGCAAGUCUGGUGUCAGCCGCCGCGGUAAUACCAGCACCUCGAGUGGUCAGGACGUUUAUUGGGCCUAAAGCAUCCGUAGCCGGCUCUGCAAGUCUUCGGUUAAAUCCACCUGCUCAACAGAUGGGCUGCUGGAGAUACUACAGAGCUAGGGAGUGGGAGAGGCAGACGGUAUUCAGUGGGUAGGGGUAAAAUCCUCUGAUCCAUUGAGGACCACCAGUGGCGAAGGCGGUCUACCAGAACACGUUCGACGGUGAGGGAUGAAAGCUGGGGGAGCAAACCGGAUUAGAUACCCGGGUAGUCCCAGCUGUAAACGAUGCAAACUCGGUGAUGCAUUGGCUUAUGGCCAAUGCAGUGCCGCAGGGAAGCCGUUAAGUUUGCCGCCUGGGAAGUACGGACGCAGGUCUGAAACUUAAAGGAAUUUGGCGGGGAGCA